rnacentral:rRNA from 1 species
UACGAAGGGGGCUAGCGUUGCUCGGAAUUACUGGGCGUAAAGCGCACGUAGGCGGAUUGUUAAGUCGGGGGUGAAAUCCUGGAGCUCAACUCCAGAACUGCCUUCGAUACUGGCGAUCUCGAGUUCGGGAGAGGUGAGUGGAACUGCGAGUGUAGAGGUGAAAUUCGUAGAUAUUCGCAAGAACACCAGUGGCGAAGGCGGCUCACUGGCCCGUAACUGACGCUGAGGCACGAAAGCGUGGGGGAGCAA